rnacentral:lncRNA from 1 species
CCAGAGUGCAUGUUUAUUUAGGGUGGGUGGUUGAGGAAGUGAUUGUGUGUGUAUAUAUAGUAAGUACAUGAGGUAGUGUUGUUAGAACCAGCAUUUGUUGACCAUCUCACAGCAGUCAGACAGAAGCCCAGUAUGAAGUUAACAAUUUCUCUCACAGCUUUCAUGGGAUUUUUCUGGGUCCUGCCCUCAGAGGUCUCUACAGAUAAUACACAGGUGCCAUCUCCCAGAAUUAUCCAGCCCAUAAGGUCCAGAAUAGGAGCUGUUCUAGGAAAGCGGUUGGUUAUUGAAUGUACGGCAGACCCAGGCCUUCCUGAUGAAUUUGCCCUUGUCUACUGGCUGGUCAACGGCACAUUCCCAAAUGUAGCCUCCACUGAUGGCAGAGUGUCAGAAACAGAAGAGUCAGUUUUAGAGGACGGCAGGGUGAUCCAGAGGAGUCUGGUGUUUAAGAGCGUGACUGCAGAGGACUUCAGGUCCACCUUUACCUGUGUGAUAAACAGCCCAGCUGGGCUUGACCAAAGGACUUUCACACUGGCCAAUCACAAGGCUCUAUUUCCCCCUCCUUCACCCACUCCCAAAACCGAGGAGAGAACAAUGAGAAAAGACACAGGAAAAGGGAUCACAGGAAAAAGGAUCACAGCAAAACACACUAGCAAGAAAUGA